rfam:Parcubacteria bacterium GW2011_GWB1_43_6 TV98_C0024, whole genome shotgun sequence.
GCGCGCUUAGCUCAGUGGCAGAGCGACCCGUUUACACCGGGUAGGUCCGAGGUUCAAUCCCUCGAGCGCGCA